AUCCCUUGACAUGUCGUGCCAUCCGGAGAGAUCCGGGGUUCCCUUCGGGGACGCGAACACAGGUGCUGCAUGGCU
rnacentral:rRNA from 1 species